rnacentral:rRNA from 1 species
AGUGAACGCUGGCGGUAGGCCUAACACAUGCAAGUCGAACGGCAGCACAGAGGAGCUUGCUCCUUGGGUGGCGAGUGGCGGACGGGUGAGGAAUACAUCGGAAUCUACUCUGUCGUGGGGGAUAACGUAGGGAAACUUACGCUAAUACCGCAUACGACCUACGGGUGAAAGCAGGGGAUCUUCGGACCUUGCGCGAUUGAAUGAGCCGAUGUCGGAUUAGGUAGUUGGCGGGGUAAAGGCCCACCAAGGCGACGAUCCGUAGCUGGUCUGAGAAGAUGAUGCGCCACACUGUGACGUAGACACAGUCCAGACUCCUACGGGAGGCAGCAGUGGGGAAUAUUGGAGAAUGGGCGCAAGGCUGAUCCAGCAAUACCGCGUGGGUGAAGAAGGCCUUCGGGUUGUAAAGCCCUUUUGUUGAGAAGGAAAGCCAUCUUGUUAAUACCCGUGUGGGAUGACGGUACCCAAAGAAUAAGCACCGGCUAACUUCGUGCCAGCCGCCGCCGUAA